CCUACGGGUGGCUGCAGUGGGGAAUAUUGCACAAUGGGCGCAAGCCUGAUGCAGCCAUGCCGCGUGUGUGAAGAAGGCCUUCGGGUUGUAAAGCACUUUCAGCGGGGAGGAAGGCGGUGAGGUUAAUAACCUCAUCGAUUGACGUUACCCGCAGAAGAAGCACCGGCUAACUCCGUGCCAGCAGCCGCGGUAAUACGGAGGGUGCAAGCGUUAAUCGGAAUUACUGGGCGUAAAGCGCACGCAGGCGGUCUGUCAAGUCGGAUGUGAAAUCCCCGGGCUCAACCUGGGAACUGCAUUCGAAACUGGCAGGCUAGAGUCUUGUAGAGGGGGGUAGAAUUCCAGGUGUAGCGGUGAAAUGCGUAGAGAUCUGGAGGAAUACCGGUGGCGAAGGCGGCCCCCUGGACAAAGACUGACGCUCAGGUGCGAAAGCGUGGGGAGCAAACAGGAUUAGAACCCCUAGUAGUC
rnacentral:rRNA from 1 species